UAAAAAGCGAUGAAAAAGAGAGUAACUUUGUCGGUCAUUUACAGAGAAGACGCCGUCGGCUGAGAGCGUUUGAUGGAGGGCAAAGCGAAGUUCACUUUGGAGCUGCAUUCCUGAACGGAGUAGGGUUUGUCGGGUAUGCCCGUGACAGCUUAACAAGGCGCAUUUUUGCGUAAAUAUAGGUGGUACCGCGGUUUUUCGCCCUAUGC
rnacentral:ncRNA from 1 species